CUUUUAUGCAAAGGGAAGUAACAGGAUUCCCUCUUUUCCUGUUCCAGGUGUACUACUCUUGCGGCGCCCAAUUCACCUCCAUGGAAAGGGGCCUCAUUUUAUCUCCUGGCUUCCCAAAUAAUUACUCAUCAGGCAUGCACUGUAUCUGGCAGUUCUUUAUCCCUGCUGGAACACACCUAAUGCUGGAAAUUUUUGAUUUUGAUAUCUUUGAAAGCCUAAGGGACAACCCCAGUGCGUGGGAUGGUUUUCUUUCCCUUCCCAAGAAUGCAAACAGGGUUCUUUCACCCACCGAAGGGACCCUGGAGCAUUCCUCCAGCCUCCCAAGUGCCAGCGCUACUCUCCAAAAUUCUCACCCACGAGGUCUGUACAAUCUUCACGAGACGUUUCCAGAGGUGACUUCUGCAAACUACGAGUUCAACCAAUCCCAGCAAAAGCAGGAACCCAAAGAAUUCGCCGUCUCUCAGCCUAGUGAGCUGCCGUACGUGACGGUUCCCAAUGCCACAGUAGCAAAGCAUCACAUUGAUGGAAGAAAGGAAAACAAAGAAUCCAAAGACAAUACUUUGCUUGCUCACCUCACAGCAAGGGAGNUAAAGAAGGGGGCAGAGGGGUACAGCCAACAUUUCGAGGGGACGAGCCUAGGAGAGGAUGCUACCAUUUCAACCACGGCCUUGCCGACCGGUACCUCUGCAACUCCGGCAUCCUCCGAGGACCUUUGCCCCCACGAUGUCCUGUAUGUCUCCGACCUCGUCACCUUCUCCUCUCGCUUCUGCGGAGCGAAUUCGCCGCUGGACCAGCACAUGACGUUCGGGUCUUCUCUGAAGAUGGUCGAGGUCAUCGUGGAGCUCAUCACCACCACGGAUCGCGGGCGAGGCUUUGCGAUGCUCUUCGAGUACCAGAACGACACCGUGCGGACGGCCACCGAGGACGCCAAGGAGUGGAAAGAAAAUGUUAUGAUGCUGGUGAUCAUAACCGGGAUCGUUUUCUUCGCCCUUGUGCUCUUGUCUUCGCUUUGCAUCACUUUCAGGCAGAAAUUGUGCCCCAAAAGGAGUUCGUUGGAUGUCCAUUGUGACCAAGAGAACGGGAUUCAGAAUGCUGCUGUCGAUCUCAACGAGCUCCAGCUUGUGAUGCCAAGUCAAGGAAAUGAAAACAAUAACCAUUCUCUCGGGGGGAACAGACCAGUAACUCCCUUUGAUGGCACCAUCGAGUGCUCUUCUCCACCCAUAGACCCUGAUGUGCCUUCUUCGGUGUCAGCAGGGAUGACAGAAUCUGGAAGCGAUGAAGUGUUUAUCAUCUCAGCCAGCCCUGGAGCUGGUGGACUAAGUUUUACCUCCUACAGAAUACAGGACAAAAACCUGAAGAGAAGUGUCACAAGUCCUGCUUCAGUUUCUGACUGGUUGGCCACAGAGCAAGCAGGAUCAAGGGUUGCUGCUACGGAGAAAGGGGCCGUGCAAGNGGAAAGCCGCUGUCCAGCACAACAGACGUGGUGUUCACGAGCCUUUCUUGAGCUGCUGGCUCCGUUUCCUCAGCUGCAGAAAAAAUGGUGCAGCUGGACCACGAACAGUCCGUCUGCAAAGCAAGCCAGCAGCAGUGGUUUGCCCCCGCCGACCAGAGACCAGACCACCCUUCCUCGGAAAGUAACCUCAGCCGUCAACAUAGAAGGAGUGUCCGAACCGGCUUACUCAGAUUCUUCGGCUAGCACUGCCUCUUACCCACUGACGCACUCGGCUCAGAAACAGCGAAAACUGAGCGGUGGCUGCAACUUGAAGAAGUCUCGCUUCAGAAACCCUUACUUUGGAUUUGUAACCAGUUCUCCUGACUCCAACCAGCCGAGGCGCUGCGANCCUUCAGAGCAAGUUUGCGUGAGAUCCCCCGGCAGCGAUCCGAGCCAGGGCCUAAAACCACCACUUGGAGACCCUCUCCUGAGCCUUGUCAAUGGCUCAAAAACCAAGGAGCUCUUGCUAGAAAUAGAUAAACCCAAACCUGUGUUUGUUAUCUCAGAAGAAAGUGAUGAUCAGCAGCCCUUGGUUUGGGCGGAGCAUGUCAACCAGUGCACAGAGGUUGGAUCUGCGCCGAGCAUCAUUAUCCACAACCCUGGGAUGGUCACANCGAAUGAGAAUCCAGCAGGCACGACAGUUCAAGGGAACAGCCUGGCAGAACCUCCCGGCACCAGAGCAGACCUUGAUCUUUGGGGAGAGAACCCCAAUUUACACAGAGAUUCCUUGGAGGACUGCCAUUCUUAUACGAAUCAAAGCAACAGCUCUGGNCCAGACAGUGGUUGCACCAGGGCACUGGCGCAUUUCGAGUCCUUGGCUGCUCACAGGUUAUGUCAGAGUUCUGUUCAAUAAUGUUGCCCAUUGCAGAACCCAGACUGACCCUGCCUGGUCCCAGUUGGGCAGCCAGAAGUAAAGACACCUACGUUCUUCUAAGAUAGAGUAGAAGCUGUAUUGCACACACAGAAGGUGAUGAAUGUGCUGUGGACCCUUGGCUCUUGUGUACAGGCACAAACCAUGCACAAAGGUAUAUGCUGUUGUAUUGCCCCCUCUGUUAACCGUUUGUUUCUAAGCCAGAGCUGAUGGGAGUUUUUGCACCGGCAGAUGGAAAGCUCUCCUAGACUUCUGAGCUGGCUCCUUUCAUAAGUGAAGUUGUGAUCUCUUAAAGCUGUGCUUCACUGAGCAGACAUGGGGUCGUGCAGAGAACUACCACACACACACCCCCAAGUAGUUAGGCUUGCAGGGAAAAGAUGGAUGCUGUUUUGGACACCAUAUGGCGGUUUACAAUAAUAUCAACCAAAUUCUGGUCACAGGUGGGCAUGAGCGCACAAUUGCUUCUACAGCUCCGCUGUCUGCACAAGACGAUCGUAGUGGAGAACCCUCAGAACUGUGUNGCAUAGAAGAAUAAACCACAAGAGCUCGGUUAGGAGCUGCA
ensembl:lncRNA